UACGGGGGGGAGCAAGCGUUGUUCGGAUUUACUGGGCGUAAAGGGCGCGUAGGCGGCCAGCACAAGUCAGUUGUGAAAUCUCCGAGCUUAACUCGGAAAGGUCAACUGAUACUGUGCGGCUAGAGUGCGGAAGGGGCAACUGGAAUUCUUGGUGUAGCGGUGAAAUGCGUAGAUAUCGAAGAGGAACACCUGCGGCGAAGGCGGGUUGCUGGGCCGACACUGACGCUG
rnacentral:rRNA from 1 species